AGAUCAUGAUCAUGAUCAUGACGACGCCGAUGAUCAUGAUCGAUCAUGAUCAUCGUCGUCGUCAUGAUCAUCAUCC
rnacentral:miRNA from 1 species